CCCACCAGGACGACUGGCACUCCGGGGCAGUGAUCUCUGACCUCUCCGGUCCACUGCAGCAGGAGCAUGGAGACUGGAUCAGUGUUCACGCAGCUCUGUGGAUCUCACUAUAUCACGGCGCACUUCUUCUUGACCUUCUGGUUGGGAGCGGUCACAGAACACAUCACCACCCUGACGGCUUCGUCAAACACGGUCUUGAGGCCGCGCUGCGUCAGAGCCGAGCACUCCAGGUCAGACUUGGUGCCCACCAGGAUCAUGGGGGUGUUGGGGCAGUGGUGCUUCAGCUCCACACUCCACUGCAGGAACAGCCAGCAGGAUGUUUUCAGACCAACUGACACGACAGCAGCAGGAUCUGUUUCCUUUCGUUCUUUAGCAAUGUCUUAUUAAUAUAGAACAUUUCAGCAGCAAGACGGAUCAAAGUGCUUCACAUGAUGAAAACAUGAGACCAUAACUAAAUGUACCAUCACCGAAUAUACAUCAAAUAUAUGAAUGAAUCAAUGAUUUGGUAAUUAUUUAUUGAAGAAACUCUAAGCUGGUGGGUUUUGAGCCGUGAUUUAAAGGAAGUCAGUGUUUCAGCUGUUUUGAAUAUUUCUGGUAGUUUAUUCCAGAUUUGUGGUGCAUAGAAGCUGAAUGCUGUUUGUCCAUGUUUGGUUCUGCUUCUAUAAAUGCAGAGUAAACUAGAACCAGGAGUGGGGGUGUACGGGCUGCUGUUUUCUGACCGAUCGCCAAUUACUGCUCUUUAAGAACACUGGCCUGCCAAUUCUAAUUUUGGUAGAUCAGUUUUCGGUCUGAAAUGAAAGAAAAUAAGUCGGUGAGUUGGUGACAGUGCUGUGAUUAUUGUUAAACAUGCAGGCAUGACCUGGUGGGUCAAUCAGUCAAACCUUUCUGACAGACGAGCAGAAGAGGACAGUGGCUGAUUUUUAGACCAUUGCUCAGGAAGAAAAGAUUGAUGGAUGAUAUCAGCUUCACUUAUGUAUGUAAACCCACCGUCUGAGGGUAGGACAGAGGUCUGAGUCUGUCGUAGUCCUCCUGUCCUGCUGUGUCCCACAGACCCAGGGACACUGGUUUCCCAUCCAGUAG